GUUGGUCUGAAUAAACAACUAGUGUACAAUGCUUAGCCGCCUGUAAUUUGCUGUUGCAUACAAUACAAUUAUUUAGAACAAAAGUUGCCGUGUUGACUGACUGAAACCUUUGCCACAGCUUCCUAUAUAAACAAGAAAUUAACAUCAAAACUGGAAAAGAAUAAUGUCUUCCUUUUCAGAAUCAAAUUUUGGCAACUAUGGCAUCCUUAUCAUCAGUGCCAUUGUCACUAUCAUCCUCAUCAAUGCAAUUAAGACUAUCAUCAAGGAUAAACUCCAUUACUUCAACAACCAAGCUAGUGAAGGAGGAGAGCCAAGUGUAGCUCCUCAGAAAGUUUUACCAAUUGAGGUACGUCCAGAGAUGUCCUUGGAUGAGCUAAAUAUACUAACUAAUAACUUUGAUGAGAAAGCUCUGAUUGGAAAGGGAUCUUAUGGCUGCGUUUUUGGUGCUAAAUUAAGCAAUGACCAACAAGUAGCAAUAAAGAAAUUGGAUACUAGUUCUUCACCAGAACCAGAUUCCGACUUUGCAGACCAGUUAGCAAUGGUUUCAAGACUUAAGCAUGAACAUUUUGUGACUCUAAUGGGUUAUUGCCUGGAAGCAAACAAUCGAAUCUUAGUUUAUGAGUUCGCAACCAUGGGCACGUUGCAUGAUGUAUUACAUGGUAGAAAGGGAGUACAAGGUGCUAAACCUAGUCUAGUUCUUACCUGGAAUGAGAGAGUUAAAAUUGCUUGUGGUGUAGCUAGUGGCCUCGAUUAUCUACAUGAAAAAGUUGAACCGCCAAUUAUUCAUCACGAUGUCAGAUCAAGCAAUGUACUACUCUUUGAUGAUUUCAUAGCAAAGAUUGCUGAUUUCAACUUGACAACCUCUGAAUCUUCAGAGGACUUUGGUUACCAUGGUCCAGAGUAUGCCAUGGAAGAAGCGAUAACACGGAAAAGUGAUGUUUAUAGUUUUGGAGUUAUUCUCUUGGAGCUGUUGACAGGAAGGAAACCAGUAGAUUAUACAAUGCCCGAAGGGCAACAGAGUCUUGUUGCAUGGGCAACUCCGCUAUUAAGUGAAGAUAAAGUGAAGGAGUGUGUUGAUCCCAACCUAAAUAAUGACUACCCUCCAAAGGCAAUUGCCAAGGUGGCUGCUCUUGUAGAACUUUGUGUUCAAUAUGAGGCAGAUUUCAGGCCAAACAUGUCUAUUAUGGUCAGGGCACUGACGCCACUUCUCAAUGCAAAUUAAACCAGCAGGAUCAGAGCCUCAAGCAUGGAACAUUAUUCUUAAUUGAAACAAGCUGCAGGGACAGUUUUAAGUACCAACGAGGCUGUGAUCCAAGUCAUGGAUCCGUUGCCAAUCCAAGGAAAAAGGAAAUCUUGAUAAAGGACUUUUGGAAUGUUGUUUGCUUAACUGAUUUCUUUAAGAUUAAAUAAUAUUAUGUUCUCAUUUUCAAAGUGCAAUGGAUGUUUGACUACUCGUA